UACGGAGGGUGCGAGCGUUGUCCGGAAUCACUGGGCGUAAAGGGCGCGUAGGCGGCCUGGUCAGCGUGCGGUGAAAGCUCGGGGCUCAACCCCGAGUCGGCCGUGCGAACUGCUGGGCUGGAGCACUGUAGAGGCAGGCGGAAUUCCGGGUGUAGCGGUGGAAUGCGUAGAGAUCCGGAAGAACACCCGUGGCUAAGGCGGCUCUCUGGGGACGGUACUGACGCUGAGACGCGAAAGCGUGGGGAGCGAACAGG
rnacentral:rRNA from 1 species